AAAUCUUCAUCCCAGAAAGCACAACAAGCAUUGAUGGGCACGUCAGACUCUGAUGGGACCGCACUGUUGAUUAGAAAUCCUCCUGAAAAAAAUCUCGCCAAGGAACGUCAUCUAGUCCAGAUCGAAAAUAUCCUAAACAGCAUCCCUGGAGGCGAUAAGGUCAUAAAGGAAUACGCUCGCACAAAGUCUUUCAGAUGGCAAAAGACGUGACAUGGUGAAAAUCUUGGUAGCACAUUUAACAAAGGAACAUGGAUCUUCCCCUUACGGAUGUUUGAAGGAAGAAUAUGCAAAGGGUAUUAUCUCCAUAUUGCCAUGCUUUGCUGACCCCAGGAGCAAGCUUGGUUAUGAGCAUUAUUACAAUGCAGAAGAUGGAAGUGGAUAUUUGGUGUGGAGAAUUAAAACACAAGCAUCAGAGGGACGGAUAAAAUGCCCACGGCAACCACAAAUAGGUGCAUGACUUGCAGAUUGAUUUGCAGAUUUUGGACUUCUAUUUGGUGAGGCGACCACUGCAAAGUUGUUGGAGAAAUGGUUUACCAACAUAAAACCAAAGGUUAUUGCACAGACCCGUGGCCUCAAACAGACUUGUAAAGUCCAAGACCUCUUCCAAAAUGCUGAAGUUGAAGAUGGUAACUAUUGUGCUAUACAUACAUGUGCUAUACAAGUUAUGAAUUCAUGAAGAAUGGCUUAGAACCAUAGUUUCAAUUGUAUUAUUUAUUGUAUUAUAUUUACAACAUAUAAUCCAUGCUUUUGUUAUUUGGAGUCCCAAAUGAAAACUAUUUUAAACUGUAAAUCUACAACUCGCAUACUAGGCCCUUGUGAAAACCCAUCUGAAAGCGCUCUAUUUUUACACACUAAUAUUGUACUUUAUAUACAAAAAAAUUCUUCUUUUGUACUUCUUGAGAUAAUCUUAAGAACAUCUAAGUAUACUUGUCUGUACUAUUUUGAGACACCAUGAAUAUGAACUGAAAUAUGCUUAAAAUAUAUUAAAAAAAUGUAUUUAGGUACCGCUUGUAGUAAACUUAAACCCAUCUUUCAUACAAACAAGUGGUAAA